rnacentral:rRNA from 1 species
AAGUGGGGGAUCUUCGGACCUCACGCUAUCAGAUGAGCCUAGGUCGGAUUAGCUAGUUGGUGGGGUAAAGGCCUACCAAGGCGACGAUCCGUAACUGGUCUGAGAGGAUGAUCAGUCACACUGGAACUGAGACACGGUCCAGACUCCUACGGGAGGCAGCAGUGGGGAAUAUUGGACAAUGGGCGAAAGCCUGAUCCAGCCAUGCCGCGUGUGUGAAGAAGGUCUUCGGAUUGUAAAGCACUUUAAGUUGGGAGGAAGGGCAGUAAGUUAAUACCUUGCUGUUUUGACGUUACCAACAGAAUAAGCACCGGCUAACUUCGUGCCAGCAGCCGCGGUAAUACGAAGGGUGCAAGCGUUAAUCGGAAUUACUG